ACACCCAUCUUCAAGAAGCCAAAAGACUUCGAAGGUGUAGAUGCCUAAGGAAGAGAGGCUAGCUAUCCAGAAAGAACCAUCAAACAAAGAAGAAUCUGACUUAUGGUACCAAAUGUAUUUAUGGCCCCUUGUGUAAAUGUUUACACCUCACCAUCUGGACACCUGUCACACUCCAAGCACAGGGACCCACAACAUAGCGAGGACAAUCCUGUGAAUCUGAACACUAUCCACUACCAAUCAGCAUCUUACCUUACACUCAGCGAACUUCCCACCUGAACCUACGGCCUGGAAGGGGUCCGUUCCUCAUCCUAAUGAGAGAUCUCCAUAGACAAAAGCAGAGGCAAGCCCACACUAAAUCCCCACCAGAAUUGAUGACAAAUGAAGAACUGGAAGGUUGUGUUGACUCAUCGGCAGAGGAAGAGGGGGAAGAAACUGAGAAGGGACCAUGUAAACAACACUGGCCUCUACAGAAAUCUUUCAAAUUACAGUGGCAUCAUAGGACAAAAUUUGCUGGAGAUGCAGCUUUUGCCCAGAAUUCACCAAGUUCUGAGUUUUAUCCUCAACAUCGCAUAAAGUGGGUAAGGUGGCAUAUGCCUGCAAUCCCCUCACUCUGGAAAUGGAGCAGGAACUUAAGGUCAUUUUGAAAUACACAAUUAUCACACUUUCAGUUACAAUGACGGUUCCCAAGUAUCUCCAAAAAAAGAAAUUUCAAUUAUUAAAGA